AUUAUAAUUCCUGUGGUGAACCUGUGUUAAAUAAAAUAUUGGCAAAGACAAGCUCAGCCUCUGAGAAUAAUUUGUCCCCAAAACAAAACACUCACAUUCUAUUUUUAUUGGUGAGGCAAUGAGGUAGUGACUAGUUUGGGUGACAUGCCACCAUGGGAGUUCUUAUCCACUUUUACUCGGCUUAAUAAGUUUUGGUGGUGAGAUCGUAUGAGCUUUGCUCACAAUUACCAGGCUUCCUGAAUACUUAAGUAAGCAAGGAGUUAAGUAUGAUCAGGUAUGAGUUAAGCAUAUUCUUCUGCUACACUUCACUGUUGAACUUAACCAAGGCUUUUCUUAUCCUGCUUUCAAGAAAAGUGCUUUCUCAUUCUGGUGCUAAAAGCAUCCAAGGUCUUCUUCCCAGAUGCUGCUUCUUUUGUCUCUUUCUCCCGAUGCAUCAAUUAAGAAUUCUUUGAUGACCGGAGCUUCCUCUGUCAGAGAGCUCAGUAUUCAUCAACUAAUUAACUCUCCAAAGAAAGCUGAGCUGCUCUGUCUGUCUGUGCUUUCUUACUCUCUCGGUGGCUCUUCUGCUUCCUGCUUCCUGCUGUGGCCCGAAGAGCAAAGUGGGGAGAUCACCCUCAGGGGCUGUAGGGCCUCAGGCUUCAGUUCAUGCUUUUGUUUUUCUAGUUAGGAGAGACCUUCCUUGAUAAAAAGCUAUUCAUUUCAUUACUCAGCCUUCCACAGAAGCAAGGUUCAAGCAGUUUUUUUCACCAAAUUUUUUUCUUUGUUAACAGUACUUUAAAGAAAAACAACCCAUAUUUGAAUAGAUUAGAACAACCUUCAAAUGGAUUAACAGUGUUUUUUCCCCAUUUCUUGUAUAGUAGAAUUGUUAUUUUUCAGCUGGCUUCAAAAUGUCAAAUCUCUUGUCUAGAAUGAAAACCCAGCACUUGGAAGAUGUCAGCAUUCUUCAUACCAGAGAAGACCACCUGAGGCCAGACUAAAGGAACUGGAGAAGCUCAUCAAGAUUACCUGGGACCACAUGUGCUGCUUGCCUCUCAUUUCCGUAAGGAUGUGUGGCCAAGUUCAUUGUCCUGUAGAGGCUCCGAUCGUGUCACACCCAACAUCCAAUCUGCUUUCCUGUGACCUACAGACUAAAGGCAGACACCUCAAAUCACUUCCUGCCCUACUGGAUGUAAACAAAUACAAACACAACACAAACCAGCUGAGAAGCAAACUCCCCCAGAUCAAUCUAUGCCUGGCCCCAGUACAACUUCCCCCAGCUCUUGUUCAGACUCGCUUCCAAUAGAACUGAACUGCAGGGUGCUCCUGCGAUGAGAGCACAUUCUUAACUCCAUAAGCUUGUGCUAUUCUCUUCACCUGGGGUUCUCUUUUCCCUUGUCUACACAUAUAGUCCUACAAAUCUGUAU
ensembl:lncRNA